rnacentral:rRNA from 1 species
AUUGAACGCUGGCGGCAUGCCUAAUACAUGCAAGUCGUGGGGAGCGGCGGACGGGUGAGUAAUGCCUAGGAGUCUGCCUGGUAGUGGUGGAUAACGUCCGGAAACGGGCGCUAAUGCCGCAUACUAUCAGAUGAGCCUAGGUCGGAUUAGCUAGUUGGUGGGGUAAAGGCCUACCAGGGCGACGAUCCGUAACUGGUCUGAGAGGAUGAUCAGUCACACUGGAAAUGAGACACGGUCCAGACUCCUACGUGAGGAAGCAGUGGGGAAUAUUGGACAAUGGGCGAAAGCCUGAUCCAGCCAUGCCGCGUGUGUGAAGAAGGUCUUCGGAUUGUAAAGCUCUGUAAGUUGGGAGGCGUUACCAUCAGAAUAAGCACCGGCUAACAUCGUGCCAGGAGCCGCGGUAAUUC